rnacentral:misc_RNA from 1 species
GCAACUCGCUCACCUCCCGCUGUGUGGCAUCGCUGCUUCGUCCAGCUACUUCCGCCGCCCCGACAAUUCAGUCCAGCGCCAGCCGCAACUCGCUGCGCCGCAGGGCACACCGCCAAAAGCCGUCCCGACUUCGACGGCUCUCGCUCGACUUGCAGGCGGCGCGCAGGGCUGCGCCGACAGCCGUGGCCAGGAUGUCGAGCCACGUUAACCGAGUUUCGCCAUCGUAUUUCGCCCGACAUCGGUUUCUGCCGAAACGCUCGUCUGCCUCCCUCGACCCGCUCGAACGCUCAAGCUCUGCUGCACCUCCGAGAGAAGGAGAUCGAGGUAGCAGGUGCGUUCCUCCGUUCUCCCAGGAGCGCAUGCAGCGAGAGGAACGAGGAGGUGGUUUGCAUGGCACUCGCUUUGGCCAGACCGCGGACGAGGCGGGCGGCUCGCAGGGUGCAGGUCAAGAUGUGGGCGUCGAGGAGGAUUGCGCGUGUGCUCGAUAGACUCUGCAGAGUCUUGGAGGACUUGCAUAACCUUCAGUAGCUCAUACAGGUUUCCCUCGUUGCAACCCGAGAUUCUGCCACCUACCAU